GACGCCGCAGUUUCAGCUCAGAGCGCGAAGGCAGAGGUCGCGUGCGGCUCCUUCUCACAGGUCUUCAAGCAUGUCCUCUGACACCGUGGACUACUACUCAAGGCGCCCGAGGCCCAGCUACUGGCAGCAGCCCGGGCCGGAGCCGCUCAUCUGCCUCACCGCCGGCCAGCUGGUCGACUGGGCGGGCGAGCGCUACGGCGCCCGGGAGGCGGUGGUGUCCGCCUACCAGGGCGUCCGCUGGAGCUUCGCGCGGGCCGCGCGGGAGGCCAACGAGCUUGCCGCUGGACUGCUAUCCUUGGGACUGCGCCCUGGGUACGUGGUCGCCCUGUGGGGGUACAACUCCAUCCACCACUACGUCACACCUCUGGCCACUGCCAAGGCGGGGCUGGUACUGGCGAAGCUGGACCCCCAGUACCAGGCGCCCGAGCUGGAGGUCUGCCUGAGCAAGGUGGGCGCCAGGCUGCUGAUUGCUGUAACAUCGAGCACACAGACAUGGCCCGACUCUAAUAGCCAAGAAGGAGCUAGUGGUUACUUGUGUUUGAGCCAAGGUGUCGGUGCUGCCCCCAGGCGAAGCUGGACCCCCAGUACCAGGCGCCCGAGCUGGAGGUCUGCCUGAGCAAGGUGGGCGCCAGGCUGCUGAUAGCUGUAACAUCGAGCACACAGACAUGGCCUGACUCUAAUAGCCAAGAAGGAGCUAGUGGUUACUUGUGUUUGAGCCAAGGUGUCGGUGCUGUCCCAGGCGAAGCUGGACCCCCAGUACCAGGCGCCCGAGCUGGAGGUCUGCCUGAGCAAGGUGGGCGCCAGGCUGCUGAUAGCUGUAACAUCGAGCACACAGACAUGGCCUGACUCUAAUAGCCAAGAAGGAGCUAGUGGUUACUUGUGUUUGAGCCAAGGUGUCGGUGCUGUCCCAGGCGAAGCUGGACCCCCAGUACCAGGCGCCCGAGCUGGAGGUCUGCCUGAGCAAGGUGGGCGCCAGGCUGCUGAUAGCUGUAACAUCGAGCACACAGACAUGGCCUGACUCUAAUAGCCAAGAAGGAGCUAGUGGUUACUUGUGUUUGAGCCAAGGUGUCGGUGCUGUCCCAGGCGAAGCUGGACCCCCAGUACCAGGCGCCCGAGCUGGAGGUCUGCCUGAGCAAGGUGGGCGCCAGGCUGCUGAUAGCUGUAACAUCGAGCACACAGACAUGGCCUGACUCUAAUAGCCAAGAAGGAGCUAGUGGUUACUUGUGUUUGAGCCAAGGUGUCGGUGCUGUCCCAGGCGAAGCUGGACCCCCAGUACCAGGCGCCUGAGCUGGAGGUCUGCCUGAGCAAGGUGGGCGCCAGGCUGCUGAUAGCUGUAACAUCGAGCACACAGACAUGGCCUGACUCUAAUAGCCAAGAAGGAGCUAGUGGUUACUUGUGUUUGAGCCAAGGUGUCGGUGCUGUCCCAGGCGAAGCUGGACCCCCAGUACCAGGCGCCCGAGCUGGAGGUCUGCCUGAGCAAGGUGGGCGCCAGGCUGCUGAUAGCUGUAAUAUCGAGCACACAGACAUGGCCUGACUCUAAUAGCCAAGAAGGAGCUAGUGGUUACUUGUGUUUGAGCCAAGGUGUCGGUGCUGUCCCAGGCGAAGCUGGACCCCCAGUACCAGGCGCCCGAGCUGGAGGUCUGCCUGAGCAAGGUGGGCGCCAGGCUGCUGAUAGCUGUAACAUCGAGCACACAGACAUGGCCUGACUCUAAUAGCCAAGAAGGAGCUAGUGGUUACUUGUGUUUGAGCCAAGGUGUCGGUGCUGUCCCAGGCGAAGCUGGACCCCCAGUACCAGGCGCCCGAGCUGGAGGUCUGCCUGAGCAAGGUGGGCGCCAGGCUGCUGAUAGCUGUAACAUCGAGCACACAGACAUGGCCUGACUCUAAUAGCCAAGAAGGAGCUAGUGGUUACUUGUGUUUGAGCCAAGGUGUCGGUGCUGUCCCAGGCGAAGCUGGACCCCCAGUACCAGGCGCCCGAGCUGGAGGUCUGCCUGAGCAAGGUGGGCGCCAGGCUGCUGAUCGUGGCGGAGACGGCGAGCUCGCAGGGAUACUACGACAUCGUCCGCGGCCUGUGUCCGGAGCUGGAGCGCUGCCCGCCGGGGGAACUGCGCAGCGCGCGACUGCCGCAGCUCUCCACGGUCGUGCUGUGCGGCGGUCAGCGCAGACCGGGAGCCUACCUUUUGGAUGAUGUCCUUAAACUGACAACCCCGGAUGGCAUCAGUAAGUUAUCCGAACUCCAAAACGCAAUUGAUCCCGAUGACGCUGCAUUCAUACAUUACACAUCGGGUACUACAGGCAGUCCCAAAGCAGCUGUUUGGUCCCACCACGCUGCUGUGAAUGCUUCAAAAGCCUUCGGGAGGGUUUUCAACCCAGAUUAUGAG